GAAAUGCGAUAAGUAGUGUGAAUUGCAGAAUUCAGUGAAUCAUCGAAUCUUUGAACGCACAUUGCGCCCUAUGGUAUUCCGUAGGGCAUGCCUGUUCGAGCGUCAUUCAAACCUUCAAGCUCUGCUUGGUGUUGGGCGUCUGUCCUGCCUCACGGCGUGGACUCGCCUCAAAUGUAUUGGCGGCCGGCACGUUGGCUUCGAGCGCAGCAGAAACGCGAACUCGGUGCCCGAUGGGUCAGCUCCCAGAAGCUAAACCCCAUGAAUUUGACCUCGGAUCAGGUAGGGAUACCCGCUGAACUUAAGC
rnacentral:misc_RNA from 1 species